rnacentral:rRNA from 1 species
CCUACGGGAGGCAGCAGUGGGGAAUAUUGGACAAUGGGCGAAAGCCUGAUCCAGCAAUGCCGCGUGAGUGAUGAAGGCCUUAGGGUCGUAAAGCUCUUUUACCAGGGAUGAUAAUGACAGUACCUGGAGAAUAAGCUCCGGCUAACUCCGUGCCAGCAGCCGCGGUAAUACGGAGGGAGCUAGCGUUGUUCGGAAUUACUGGGCGUAAAGCGUACGUAGGCGGUUAUUCAAGUCAGAGGUGAAAGCCCGGGGCUCAACCCCGGAACUGCCUUUGAAACUAGAUAGCUAGAGUCUUGGAGAGGUCAGUGGAAUUCCGAGUGUAGAGGUGAAAUUCGUAGAUAUUCGGAAGAACACCAGUGGCGAAGGCGACUGACUGGACAAGUACUGACGCUGAGGUACGAAAGCGUGGGGAGCAAACAGGAUUAGAUACCCUGGUAGUCCACGCCGUAAACGAUGAUAGCUAGCUGUCCGGGUACUUGGUAUCUGGGUGGCGCAGCUAACGCAUUAAGUUAUCCGCCUGGGGAGUACGGUCGCAAGAUUAAAACUUAAAUAGAAUUAAGUACGGCGUUGAGAGUUGCCGAACGGACGACGACCGAGGGAGGAGG